rnacentral:rRNA from 1 species
GUCUUUUUGAGUUAUUUUUAAAGUCUGACCUGCCCACUGAUUAAUAUUAAAUGGCCGCAGUAUUUUAACUGUGCAAAGGUAGCAUAAUCAUUAGUCUUUUAAUUGAAGGCUGGUAUGAACGGUUGGACGAAAUAUAUACUGUUUCAUAUAAAAUUGAGUUAAAAUUUUAUUUUUUAGUUAAAAAGCUAAAAUUUUAUUAAAAGACGAGAAGACCCUAUAAAUCUUUAUAUUUAUAUUUAUAUAAAUUUUUUUGAUUUAUUUUAUUUUUAUAUUUUAAAAUAUUUUGUUGGGGUGAUAUUAAAAUUUAAAAAACUUUUAAUUAUGAUUAAAUCAUUAAUUUAUGAAUAAUUGAUCCUUUAUUAAUGAUUAUAAGAUUAAGUUACUUUAGGGAUAACAGCGUAAUUUUUUUUGAGAGUUCAUAUCGAUAAAAAAGUUUGCGACCUCGAUGUUGGAUUAAGAUAUAUUUUUAGGUGUAGUCGCUUAAAUAUUAAGUCUGUUCGACUUUUAAAUUCUU